CACUGGUGUUCGGGUUGUCAUGCCAAUGGCACUGCCCGGUAGCUAAAUGCGGAAGAGAUAAGUGCUGAAAGCAUCUAAGCACGAAACUUGCCCCGAGAUGAGUUCUCCCUGACCCUUUAAGGGUCCUGAAGGAACGUUGAAGACGACGACGUUGAUAGGCCGGGUGUGUAAGCGCAGCGAUGCGUUGAGCUAACCGGUACUAAUGAACCGUGAGGCUUAACCUUACAACGCCGAAGGUGUUUUAG
rnacentral:rRNA from 1 species